rnacentral:piRNA from 1 species
UAGAAGAGACCAGUGUGCUUACUGCA